GACAGAGGUGCCGAGCGUUAGGCGGAAUCACUGGGCUUAAAGCGUGUGUAGGCGGACUUCUAAGUACCUUGUGAAAUCCCACAGCUCAACCGUGGAACUGCUUGGUAUACUGGUUGUCUUGAGCCACUUAGGGGCAGUCGGAACAGACGGUGGAGCGGUGAAAUGCGUAGAGAUCGGAAAGAACACCAACGGCGAAAGCACUCUGCUGGGCCGACACUGACACUGAGAGACGAAAAGCUAGGGGGAGCGAAUGGG
rnacentral:rRNA from 1 species